rnacentral:rRNA from 1 species
UACGUGGGUGGCAAGCGUUGUCCGAAAUUAUUGGGCGUAAAGCGCGCGCAGGCGGUCCUUUAAGUCUGAUGUGAAAGCCCACGGCUCAACCGUGGAGGGUCAUUGGAAACUGGGGGACUUGAGUGCAGGAGAGAAGAGUGGAAUUCCACGUGUAGCGGUGAAAUGCGUAGAGAUGUGGAGGAACACCAGUGGCGAAGGCGAGUCUCUGGACAUUUCCUGACGCUGAGGCACGAAAGCCAGGGGAGCAAACGGG